AGACAGCAAAGAUAUAUUAUGGUGUCACUUUUUGUAAAUGAAAAUAGGCUGAAUUCAUAUCACCCAGAUUACGUUAAUGAUUGGCCUGGUAUCCGAAGUCGAGGUUCCAAAUUUGAACAGAAUAUCUUCAUGGGGAAACAGGCCUCACUGGGACCAAAUGCUGACAUAAAACUCAGAACUUAUUAAUCAUCACUAUAAACCCAGUUUUUCCAUUCCCA
rnacentral:lncRNA from 1 species